GUCCCUUCUGGGACAUCCGAUCAAAUUGUAAUGAUAGAAAGAAUAUUAGCAUAACUCUUGUGUAAUAAUGACACACACAUAUCAAGAAAUUGUCCAAAAUUAC